rnacentral:rRNA from 1 species
GAUGAACGCUGGCGGCGUGCUUAACACAUGCAAGUCGAACGAUGAACCGGGUGCUUGCACUCGGGGAUUAGUGGCGAACGGGUGAGUAACACGUGAGCAACCUGCCCCUGACUCUGGGAUAAGCGCUGGAAACGGCGUCUAAUACUGGAUAUGUCCCGUCACCGCAUGGUGUGCGGGUGGAAAGAUUUUUCGGUUGGGGAUGGGCUCGCGGCCUAUCAGCUUGUUGGUGAGGUAAUGGCUCACCAAGGCGUCGACGGGUAGCCGGCCUGAGAGGGUGACCGGGCACACUGGGACUGAGACACGGCCCAGACUCCUACGGGAGGCAGCAGUGGGGAAUAUUGCACAAUGGGCGGAAGCCUGAUGCAGCAGCGCCGCGUGAGGGAUGACGGCCUUCGGGUUGUAAACCUCUUUUAGUAGGGAAGAAGCGAAAGUGACGGUACCUGCAGAAAAAGCACCGGCUAACUACGUGCCAGCCGCCGCCGUAA